rfam:Stegodyphus mimosarum contig127717, whole genome shotgun sequence.
GCCUUCGUGGUGUAGUGGUCUGCAUGCUCGGCGCUUAACCGAGAGGUCCGUGGUUCGAUUCCCGGCGAAGGCG